rnacentral:rRNA from 1 species
AUGCGAUGGGCCCUGAUUGUAUCCCCAUUGAGGUGUGGACAGAAGCAGCUGAAGCUAGUUUCAAUGAGAUUAAACAAAAAACUAUCACAAGCUCCUGUCUUGGUGUUACCUGAUUUCAACAAGACUUUUGAGUUGGAGUGUGAUGCAAGUGGAGUAGGCAUUGGAGCUGCCCUAUCUCAAGAAAGGAAGCCCAUUGCUUUCUUUAGUGAGAAGUUAAGUGAAGCUAGACAGAAAUGGAGUACCUAUCAGCAAGAAUUAUAUGCCGUUUUCAGAGCGUUGAAAACUUGGGAAGUCUAUUUGCUGCCUAAAGAAUUCAUUGUUUAUAGUGACCAUCAAUCCGUGAAGCAUUUUAGAAAUCAAAAGCAUGUUAACCGCAUGCUAGCAAGAUGGACAACAUAUCUGGAGAGGUUUAACUAUCUCAUCGUGCAUAAACCUGGAAUAACCAAUAGUGUGGCUGAUGCUUUGAGUCGUCGUGCAUGCCUCUUGACUUCUUUUGAAGCUGAACUUCUGGGCAUGGAUCAAAUAAAGGAGUUGUAUGAGGGUGACGAAGACUUUGGCCAUGUUUGGGUAAAGCACGGAAGGGGCCAACCAUUAGGUGAUGACUAUUUGAUGCAAGAUGGAUAUCUCUUCAAAAAUGAUUGUUUGUGCAUUCCAAGAAGUUCUCUACGUGACAAGUGGUUAGAGAGCUCCAUUCAAGUGAUCUUAGUUGGACGGGACAAGACUAUCGCUAGCCUGGAAGCUCGCCACUUUUGGCCACAACUAAAGAGAGAUGCUCGAAAGUUUGUUCAGCAAUGCCCUAUAUGUCAAACCUGCAAAGGCCAAGUCCAGAACACAGGGUUAUACGUGCCUUUGCCUGUUCCCGUCGCUCCAUGGGAGGACAUCUCUAUGGACUUCGUCUUGGGCUUGUCAAGAACAAGACGGGAGAGUGAUGCCGUGUUUGUGGUCGUGGACAGAUUCUCCAAGAUGGCUCAUUUCAUCCCAUGCCGCAAGACAACGCAUGCUCAUCAUGUGGCAAGCCUAUUCUUUCGAGAAGUGGACAGACUUCAUGGAGUUCCAAGGUCCAUCAUCUCAAACCGUGAUAGCAAGUUCCUUGCUGCAUUCUGGCUCACUUUGUGGAAGCAAUUCAACACUGAAUUGGAAUUUUCUAGCACUGCUCAUCCACAAACAGAUGGACAAAUGGAAGUGGUGAACAAGUUUUUGGGUAAUCUGAUCCGUUGCAUUUGUGGAGAAAGAAAGGGGCAAUGGGAUUUGGCUUUAUCUCUUGCAGAGUUCUCCUACAAUAACUCCAAGCAUAGAUCCAUAGGAAGGAGCCCUUUUUCCAUUAUCUACACUAAAGUUCCAACACAUGUGGUGGACCUGGUGAAACUACCAUCAAGGGGAAACUCAAAAUCAGCAUUGUCCUUUGCUGAUAAUUACACUGAGUUAUUUGAAGAGAUUCACGGUGCUUUGGAAGCACAAAAUCAGAAAUAUAAACAACUUGCUGAUUGCAAAAAGAGGCCAAAAUCAUUCCAAGUCGGUGAUAAGGUGAUGGUCUACUUCCGAAAAGAGAGGUUGCCUUUAGGUGUUAAAAGGGAAACUUAG